rnacentral:rRNA from 1 species
GAUGAACGCUGGCGGCGUGCUUAACACAUGCAAGUCGAACGAGAAGUGGAGACGGAAACCUUCGGGCGGAAGACGUUAUUUGGAUUGGCGGACGGGUGAGUAACGCGUGGGUAACCUGCCACAUACAGGGGGAUAACAGUUUGAAACGAGUGUUAAUACCGCAUAAGACGACAGCACCGCAUGAUGCGGGGGUGAAAACUCGGGUGGUGUGAGAUGGACCGGAGUUCGAUGAGCCAGUUGUCGGGGUAAUGGCCCCCCACAGCGACGACCGAUAGCCGAUCUGAGAGGAUGACCGGCCACUCUGGGACUGAGACACGGUACAAACUCCUACGGAAGGCAGCAGAGGGGAAUAUUGCACCAUGGCGUAAAUCCUGAUGCAGCGACGCCGCGUGAGCGCAGAAGUAUUUCGGUAUGUAAUGCUCUAUCAGCAGGGAAGAAAAUGACGGUACCUGAGUAAGAAGCCCCGGCUAACUACGUG